rnacentral:rRNA from 1 species
UACGUAGGUGGCAAGCGUUGUCCGGAUUUACUGGGCGUAAAGGGCGCGUAGGCGGCUCGGCACGUCCGUUGUGAAAUCGCCCGGCUCAACUGGGCGGGGUCAGCGGAUACGGCCGAGCUGGAGCAAGCUAGGGGGUAAUGGAAUUCCCGGUGUAGUGGUGGAAUGCGUAGAUAUCGGGAGGAACACCAGUGGCGAAGGCGGUUACCUGGAGCUUUGCUGACGCUGAUGCGCGAAAGCGUGGGGAGCGAUCCGG